AUGAUUGCGAAUGGUCACCUUCAGUGCUGGCUCUCAAAAGCAAGUGCACGUUGGUGGCUUCAUCCAAUUCCACACCCUGUGCACCUUUGGCCUCUUGCUAGCUUUGGCUGGCAGAGGAUUUUACAUAUACUCUCGAAUGUAAUGAAAACUAUUGUUGUGCGCAAGCACUAAUAUA
rnacentral:misc_RNA from 1 species